AGAGUUUGAUCCUGGCUCAGAACGAACGCUGGCGGCGUGGAUAAGACAUGCAAGUCGAACGGGAUAUUAUUUGUAGCAAUACAGAUGAUGUCUAGUGGCAUACGGGUGCGUAACACGUGAGCAACAUGCCUUGAAGUGGGGGAUAGCUCGUCGAAAGGCGAAUUAGUACCGCAUGUGGUAGCAAUACUAAAGCCGGGGCAACCUGGCGCUUCUUGAUUGGCUCGCGGCCUAUCAGCUAGUUGGUAAGGUAACGGCUUACCAAGGCUAUGACGGGUAGCUGGUCUGAGAGGACGACCAGCCACACUGGAACUGAGACACGGUCCAGACACCUACGGGUGGCAGCAGUCGAGAAUUUUUCUCAAUGGGGGAAACCCUGAAGGAGCGACGCCGCGUGGAGGAUGAAGGUCUUCGGAUCGUAAACUCCUGUCAUUGGUGAACAAAGCCACGGGUUAACUGCCCAGUGGUCUGCUAGUAGCCGAAGAGGAAGGGACGGCUAACUCUGUGCCAGCAGCCGCGGUAAUACAGAGGUCCCGAGCGUUGUUCGGAUUUAUUGGGCGUAAAGGGUGCGUAGGUGGCAAAGUAAGUUGGAUGUGAAAUCCUGGGGCUCAACCUCAGAAUUGCAUUCAAUACUGCUUAGCUAGAGAGCUGUAGAGGAGACUGGAAUUUACGGUAGCAGUGAAAUGCGUAGAUAUCGUAAGGAACGCCAGUGGCGAAAGCGAGUCUCUGGGCAGCAUCUGACACUGAGGCACGAAGGCCAGGGGAGCAAACGGGAUUAGAUACCCUAGUAGUCC
rnacentral:rRNA from 1 species